AACCCUUAUCCUUUGUUGCCAGCGAUUAGGUCGGGAACUCAAAGGAGACUGCCAGUGAUAAACUGGAGGAAGGUGGGGAUGACGUCAAGUCAUCAUGGCCCUUACGACCAGGGCUACACACGUGCUACAAUGGCGCAUACAAAGAGAAGCGACCUCGCGAGAGCAAGCGGACCUCAUAAAGUGCGUCGUAGUCCGGAUUGGAGUCUGCAACUCGACUCCAUGAAGUCGGAAUCGCUAGUAAUCGUGGAUCAGAAUGCCACGGUGAAUACGUUCCCGGGCCUUGUACACACCGCCCGUCACACCAUGGGAGUGGGUUGCAAAAGAAGUAGGUAGCUUAACCUUCGGGAGGGCGCUUACCACUUUGUGAUUCAUGACUGGGGUGAAGUCGUAACAAGGUAACCGUAGGGGAACCUGCGGUUGGAUCACCUCCUUACCUUAAAGAA
rnacentral:rRNA from 1 species